rnacentral:lncRNA from 1 species
CCCGGUCUCUUGAAGACAUUGAUUUAGCUUUUAAGGAUGCUGAGUCAGUUUCAAAGGAAACUGAAGUUAAGUUUGCAGAGUCCAUGCUGCCUGACUUUGACAUCAAUUCAGGCAUGCCAACGAUUGAAGCACGGUCUUUUGAAAACAUUGAUUUAGCUUUGAAGGAUGCUGAACCAAUGUCAAGGGAAGCUAAAGUUGAGGAUGCGGAGCCCACGAUACCCGAUGUUGAAAUCAGUUCAAGGAUGCCAAUAAUUGAAGCGCGAUCCCUUGAAGACAUUGAUUUAGCUUUUAAGGGUACGGAAUUAAUGUCAAAGGAAGCCAUUGUACCUGACCUUGUCAUCAAUUCAGGCAUGCCAAUGAUUGAAGCACGAUCUCUUGAAGACAUCGAUUUAGUUUUGAAGGAUGCUGAGCCACCAAUGUCAAUAGAAACUGAAGUUGAGGCUUCAGAGUCCACAAUACCCGACAUUGAGAUCAAUUCAAUGAUGCUGGUCACUGAGGCGCGAUCCCUAGAAGACAUUGAUUUAGCUUUUAAGUAUACGGAAUCAAUGUCGAAGGAAACUGAAGUUGAAGGCAACUCCAACGUACCUGAAAAUGACAUCAAUUCCAUGGUAUACAAAAAUGAUGUCAAUUCUGAGAUGCUAGUGAUUGAAGCCCGAUCCCAUGAAGACAUUGAUUUAGCUUUCAAGGAUACCAAAUUAAUGUCAAAGGAGACUGAAGUUGAGAUUGAGGAGUCUAAGGUACCCGUCCACGAGAUCAGUAUGGAGAUGCCAAU